AGGACGAACGCUGGCGGCGUGCUUAACACAUGCAAGUCGAGCGGAAAGGCCCUUCGGGGUACUCGAGCGGCGAACGGGUGAGUAACACGUGAGUAACCUGCCCCUAGCUCUGGGAUAGCUCCGGGAAACCGGGAUUAAUACCAGAUACGACCACUUUAGACAUCUGUCGUGGUGGAAAGGAUUCCGGCUAGGGAUGGGCUCGCGGCCUAUCAGCUUGUUGGUGGGUAACGGCCUACCAAGGCGACGACGGGUA
rnacentral:rRNA from 1 species